CAGCGGAAAUUGCCUUAAGUAACGGCGAGUGAAGCGGCAAAAGCUCAAAUUUGAAAUCUAGCACUUUCAGUGUUCCGAGUUGUAAUUUGAAGAAGGUAACUUUGGAAUUGGCUCUUGUCUAUGUUCCUUGGAACAGGACGUCACAGAGGGUGAGAAUCCCGUGCGAUGAGAUGUCCAAUUCUAUGUAAAGUGCUUUCGAAGAGUCGAGUUGUUUGGGAAUGCAGCUCUAAGUGGGUGGUAAAUUCCAUCUAAAGCUAAAUAUUGGCGAGAGACCGAUAGCGAACAAGUACAGUGAUGGAAAGAUGAAAAGAACUUUGAAAAGAGAGUGAAAAAGUACGUGAAAUUGUUGAAAGGGAAGGGCUUGAGAUCAGACUUGGUAUUUUGUGUUCCUUAUCCUUCUUGGAUUAGGUUCCUCACAGCUUACCGGGCCAGCAUCGGUUUGGAUGGCAGGAUAAUGACAUUGGAAUGUAGCUUUGCUUCGGUGAAGUGUUAUAGACUUUGUUGAUACUGCCUAUCUAGACCGAGGACUGCGUCUUUGACUAGGAUGCUGGCGUAAUGAUC
rnacentral:rRNA from 2 species